GGGACGAACGCUGGCGGCGUGCUUAACACAUGCAAGUCGAGCGGAAAGGCCCUUCGGGGUACUCGAGCGGCGAACGGGUGAGUAACACGUGAGCAACCUGCCCCUGGCUCUGGGAUAGCCUCCGGAAACGGGGAUUAAUACCGGACAUUCACUUCCUUCCGCAUGGUUGGUGGUGGAAAGUUUUUCGGCCGGGGAGGGGCUCGCGGUCUAUCAGCUUGUUGGCGGGGUAACGGCCCACCAAGGCGACGACGGAUAG
rnacentral:rRNA from 1 species